rnacentral:sRNA from 1 species
GCUGGGCAUGGUGGCACAUGCCUGUAAUCCCAGUGGCUCGGGAGGCUGAGGCAGGAGGAUUUUGAGUUCAAAGCCAGCCUCAGCAGCUUAGCAAAGCCCUAAGCAACUCAGUGAGACCCUGUCUCUA